ensembl:lncRNA
GGGCCUUGUUCACCGAAACUUGGUCUCCCCAUGUUGCUCUCUUUCUCAAAUUCUGGCUGAGUCUCCAUCUGGAGCGCGGAACCCACCAUGCUUGCUAAUUAUGCCUGGGCUUCUAAGAUCUGACCAGGGAGGCCUCAGUGUCUCCUCUCCUUCGGGAGAACGGAAGGACGCCUGCGGCCUACGGACUGUAGCCCGCCAGGCUCCUCUGUCCAUGGAAUCCUCCAGGCAAGAAUACUGAAGUGGGUAGCCAUUCCCUUCUCCAGAGGAUCUUCCUGACCCACUGAUUGACUCCAGGUGUCCAACAUUGUGGGCAGAUUCUUUACCAUCUGAGCCACCAGGGAAGCCCCUUUUAAAGGUCAGCCACGCUCAAUAAAUGCUGACGUGCCCUGGUGGCAUCUGAGCCGGCAACCUUGCACUGAACCUGAACUCCUGGAACAGACUUCUUGAAGCUGGCCGAGGGCUGUCCAGAACUCCGGAACACAUUCUGAAGAGCCCGUCAGUGGUGUGUGGACCCACGGCCUGGCAGUCCCUCAUUUCCAUUCUGCUGCCACCUUGCAAGUGACCCCUCGAUGUUCCAGGUUUUCUCUUGAGAAGCAGCGUGGAACAGCAGGAAGCAAACCAAAUGAAGAUGGGGGAUGGUAACAAUGAAGACUGUGCCCCUCCCUCCCCUGGCCACUGAUGUCCACGUCCUUAUUCCCAGAGCCUGGCUUGGUCAGUCCCCUGCCUCCAGGCAUAAUAUUUCUUCCUCAGCCCCUUCCCCUAUUAUUCUGGCAACAGUUUCGCACUGGUGCCCACCCCUGGGUACCUCAGUGCCCUUGCCCAGCAUUGCCCACAUCUCUGUCCAUACUUCCUUUGAUUAAAAUCCCUUAAGCCA